GUGAUUGUGGCUAAGUGGUAGAGCACUCACCUAACCUGUGUGAGGCACUGGGUUUGAGUCUCAGCACCACA
rnacentral:tRNA from 1 species